UUGGGCUUUACUCUAGGCCACUGCAGUGUACCUGUAGGCUUUGCACCAUGGUGGUGACAUUAAAAGACUAGUAAAGCAUGCUCUACACACAGUGCUUUUGCAAGCUCUGUGGCAGUAGGAAAUGUGCCCAGAGGACAAAGGAACAGGAAAGGGUCUAAGCAGUAACAGAAGUGGUCCACACAGAUAACGUAUGGCUUUAAUUGGCGUUGGUGUAGAUCCAAGUCACCAAAGGAGUCCAGCAGCCCAGAUUUAGUGGGCUAAUUCUGGGAGAAACAACUGCCUCGGUGAUCUAGUUCAAUACAAUCCUUUGUUUCUCCAUGUGUUGGAAAAGCUAACACUGAGAAUGGCGUCUCCACAAGGCAAGCCAGAGUCAAAGCCGUUUGGCAUUGAACCUUGAUGGAAGUUCCUUAUCUGGAAAAAAAAAACUACAGAAGUGUGUGUGUAUGUGUAUAUGUGUGUGUGAGAGAGAGAAUAUGAAUGAAUGAAUGAAUGAAUGAAUGAAUGGAGAGUGUGUGUAUAAAAGGCUGCUUAGGAAGCCCAAAGGGUAGGUCUUCUCACCCUGAAGCACUAAAGUGGGUAGAGGUACAAGUUUUAAACUAAAAAUGUUGAUAAAAGACCAGCAAUGUUUAAAAAAACAAUAUUUCUUGUAUACUGGAUGUGCCUUUUAGCAAUAAAAAUUCCAAGAACCGAUCAUUAUUGUCCCUCCAUCAGAAACCUUGGUUUAUUGAUGGACAUCUUUUGCUGUGGAACAAGCGACCCUAUUUUCUCCUCGUCCUAGGCUUUACCAGUGUAUAAUGCUUUUAAAGUUUACAUGACAUCUGUGUUAAAAUCUAUUUUAGCUUUAUUUAUGUAUUCUCAUUUAUUAUCGAUGGUGUUAGACUUGGUUCACAGUAAUCACCAGGCUCAGUGACUAACCGUGCUUCUUGUGUCGGUUGGUUCUUACCUUUUCCAUGCUUCUGCUUGUAUAAUGAAAGCAAGGGCUUGUUGGAGGCCUGAAUUGUUUUUAAAAAAAGUCAAAAAAGGAAAAAAAAAGUCAUUCCUCUUAUUACCAGUGGAAGGUUUUGGCUAGAGAGGACCACAGAAGGACAGUAACCAGGCAACCAAGAAAGAGGCCGGUUCUUUCUCCUGGCCAUAGCUGCAGCAGGGGCAAGUCUUAACCCAUGCCUCUUAGGAGCUGGCUGUGCUGAGCAGAAAGCUUCCGAGGGACGCCUUCCAUCCGCUGUGCACCCCUCUGCCAGUCUUAAUCCACUUUCAAAUAGUUUUAAACCCUUUUUCUCCUAUUCUAACAGUGCA
rnacentral:lncRNA from 1 species